AUUGAACGCUGGCGGCAUGCCUUACACAUGCAAGUCGAACGGCAGCACGGGGGCAACCCUGGUGGCGAGUGGCGAACGGGUGAGUAACAUAUCGGAACAUACCCUAGAGUGGGGGAUAACGUAGCGAAAGUUACGCUAAUACCGCAUACGAUCUAAGGAUGAAAGUGGGGGAUCUUCGGACCUCAUGCUCAUGGAGUGGCCGAUAUCUGAUUAGCUAGUUGGUGAGGUAAAGGCUCACCAAGGCGACGAUCAGUAGCUGGUUUGAGAGAACGACCAGCCACACUGGAACUGAGACACGGUCCAGACUCCUACGGAGGCAGCAGUGGGGAAUUUUGGACAAUGGGGGGCAACCCUGAUCCAGCAAUGCCGCGUGAGUGAAGAAGGCCUUCGGUUGUAAGA
rnacentral:rRNA from 1 species